GUGAGGGAGUGGGUGACUAGUGACAGAGGGAAGGAGAGGGGGAGACUAGUGACAGAGUGAGGGCAUGACUGGUGACAGAGUGAGGGGGGGUGACUGUCACUAGUGACCCCAUCCCUCUCUCUGUCACUAGUUACUCCCUCCCUAACUCUGUCACUGUGUCACCCGCUCCCUCACUCUGUCACUAGUCACCCCAUUACUCUGUCACUGUGUUACCCCCUCCCUCUGUCACUUACCCCCUCCCUCUGUCACUAGUCACCCCCUCCCUCAC